rnacentral:rRNA from 1 species
AUUGAACGCUGGCGGCAGGCCUAACACAUGCAAGUCGAGCGGAUGAAGGGAGCUUGCUCCUGGAUUCAGCGGCGGACGGGUGAGUAAUGCCUAGGAAUCUGCCUGGUAGUGGGGGAUAACGUCCGGAAACGGGCGCCAAUACCGCAUACGUCCUGAGGGAGAAAGUGGGGGAUCUUCGGACCUCACGCUAUCAGAUGAGCCUAGGUCGGAUUAGCUAGUUGGUGGGGUAAAGGCCUACCAAGGCGACGAUCCGUAACUGGUCUGAGAGGAUGAUCAGUCACACUGGAACUGAGACACGGUCCAGACUCCUACAGGAGGCAGCAGUGGGGAAUAUUGGACAAUGGGCGAAAGCCUGAUCCAGCCAUGCCGCGUGUGUGAAGAAGGUCUUCGGAUUGUAAAGCACUUUAAGUUGGGAGGAAGGGCAGUAAGUUAAUACCUUGCUGUUUUGACGUUACCAACAGAAUAAGCACCGGCUAACUUCGUG